rnacentral:rRNA from 1 species
UACGUAGGGGGCAAGCGUUGUCCGGAUUUAUUGGGCGUAAAGAGCGUGUAGGCGGUCAGGUAGGUCCGUUGUGAAAACUCGAGGCUCAACCUCGAGACGCCGAUGGAAACCAUCUGACUAGAGUCCGGAAGAGGAGAGUGGAAUUCCCGGUGUAGCGGUGAAAUGCGCAGAUAUCGGGAAGAACACCCGUGGCGAAGGCGGCUCUCUGGGGACGGUACUGACGGCUGAGACGCGAAAGCGUGGGGAGCGAACAGG